CUACGGGAGGCAGCAGUAGGGAAUAUUGGGCAAUGGAGGCAACUCUGACCCAGCCAUGCCGCGUGAAGGAUGAAGGCGCUUUGCGUCGUAAACUUCUUUUGGGUAGGAAGAAAAGCAGACGUUCUCGUUUGUUUGACGGUACUAUCAGAAUAAGCACCGGCUAACUCUGUGCCAGCAGCCGCGGUAAUACAGAGGGUGCAAGCGUUAUCCGGAUUUACUGGGUUUAAAGGGUGCGUAGGCGGGAUUUUAAGUCAGUGGUGAAAGCUCGUCGCUUAACGACGGAAUUGCCAUUGAAACUGAAGUUCUUGAGAUACAGUGAGGUUGGCGGAAUGAGACAUGUAGCGGUGAAUUGCAUAGAGAUGUCUUAGAACACCAAUUGCGAAGGCAGCUGACUGGCUGUUAUCUGACGCUGAGGCACGAAAGCGUGGGGAUCAAACAGGAUUAGAUACCCCGGUAGC
rnacentral:rRNA from 1 species